rnacentral:rRNA from 1 species
GAUGAACGCUGGCGGCGUGCUUAACACAUGCAAGUCGAACGAAACACCUUAUUUGAUUUUCUUCGGAACUGAAGAUUUGGUGAUUGAGUGGCGGACGGGUGAGUAACGCGUGGGUAACCUGCCCUGUACAGGGGGAUAACAGUCAGAAAUGACUGCUAAUACCGCAUAAGACCACAGCACCACAUGGUGCAGGGGUAAAAACUCCGGUGGUACAGGAUGGACCCGCGUCUGAUUAGCUGGUUGGUGAGGUAACGGCUCACCAAGGCGACGAUCAGUAGCCGGCUUGAGAGAGUGAACGGCCACAUUGGGACUGAGACACGGCCCAAACUCCUACGGGAGGCAGCAGUGGGGAAUAUUGCACAAUGGGGGAAACCCUGAUGCAGCGACGCCGCGUGAGUGAAGAAGUAUCUCGGUAUGUAAAGCUCUAUCAGCAGGGAAGAAAAUGACGGUACCUGACUAAGAAGCCCCGGCUAACUACGUGCCAGCAGCCGCGGUAAUACGUAGGGGGCAAGCGUUAUCCGGAAUUACUGGGUGUAAAGGGUGCGUAGGUGGUAUGGCAAGUCAGAAGUGUAAACCCAGGGCUUAACUCUGGGACUGCUUUUGAAACUGUCAGACUGGAGUGCAGG